AACGAACGCUGGCGGCAGGCUUAACACAUGCAAGUCGAACGCCCCGCAAGGGGAGUGGCAGACGGGUGAGUAACGCGUGGGAACGUACCUUUCGCUUCGGAAUAGUCCCGGGAAACUGGGUUUAAUGCCGGAUACGCCGUAUUGGGAAAGAUUUAUCGGCGAAAGAUCGGCCCGCGUUAGAUUAGCUAGUUGGCGGUGUAAUGGACCACCAAGGCGACGAUCUAUAGCUGGUUUGAGAGGAUGAUCAGCCACACUGGGACUGAGACACGGCCCAGACUCCUACGGGAGGCAGCAGUGGGGAAUCUUGGACAAUGGGCGCAAGCCUGAUCCAGCCAUGCCGCGUGAGUGAAGAAGGCCUUAGGGUUGUAAAACUCUUUCGCCGGAGAAGAUAAUGACGGUAUCCGGAGAAGAAGCCCCGGCUAACUUCGUGCCAGCCGCCGCCGUAA
rnacentral:rRNA from 1 species